rnacentral:ncRNA from 1 species
GGGGAUACGCUUAGAGUCCCCAAGAUAUGGUGUGUUAAUAGCAUGCCCUGUGGCCGGGUAUGUGGUUAGUGAAUC